AACAUAGGGGGUGGGAAGCAAACACUGUGACAGCUUAGACUUCGGUCUUUGCAAUUGCUUGGGUGUCGAAAGGCGCCCAAUCUUUAAAACUUUUAUAUUUGUUCUGAAACAAUGAAAAUUUAAAACUUUCAACAACGGAUCUCUUGGUUCUCGUAUCGAUGAAGAACGCAGCAAAGCGCGAUAGGUAAUGCGAAUUGCAGACGUGAGUCAUUGAAUUUUUGAACGCAUAUUGCGCUAUUAGUUUGUCUAAUAGCAUGCUUGUUGGAGUGAUAAUCUUCCUCUCAACCAUUUUUGGUAUGAGGUCUUGCUCCUUUUAGGAGUUAAAAUCAUGGAAGUGCACACGUUAAUUAACUCUGUGCAGUUAUACACUUUUCAUCCUCCAAUCAAGCAAGGUUACCCGCUGAACUUAAGCAUAUCAAUAAGCGGAGGAA
rnacentral:rRNA from 1 species